rnacentral:rRNA from 1 species
GAUGAACGCUGGCGGCGUGCCUAAUACAUGCAAGUCGAGCGAACAGACGAGGAGCUUGCUCCUCUGACGUUAGCGGCGGACGGGUGAGUAACACGUGGAUAACCUACCUAUAAGACUGGGAUAACUUCGGGAAACCGGAGCUAAUACCGGAUAAUAUAUUGAACCGCAUGGUUCAAUAGUGAAAGACGGUUUUGCUGUCACUUAUAGAUUGAUCCGCGCCGCAUUAGCUAGUUGGUAAGGUAACGGCUUACCAAGGCAACGAUGCGUAGCCGACCUGAGAGGGUGGUCGGCCACACUGGAACUGAGACACGGUCGAGACUCCUACGGGAGGCAGCAGUAGGGAAUCUUCCGCGAUGGGCGAAAGCCUGACGGAGCAACGCCGCGUGAGUGAUGAAGGUCUUCGGAUCGUAAAACUCUGUUAUUAGGGAAGAACAAAUGUGUAAGUAACUAUGCACGUCUUGACGGUACCUAAUCAGAAAGCCACGGCUAACUACGUG